CAGCAGCCACGGGAAUACGAAGGGGGCUAGCGUUGUUCGGAUUUACUGGGCGUAAAGGGCGCGUAGGCGGAUUGAUAAGUCAGGGGUGAAAUCCCAAGGCUCAACCUUGGAACUGCCUUUGAUACUGUUUGUCUUGAGUUCGAGAGAGGUAAGUGGAACUGCGAGUGUAGAGGUGAAAUUCGUAGAUAUUCGCAAGAACACCAGUGGCGAAGGCGGCUUACUGGCUCGAAACUGACGCUGAGGCGCGAAAGCGUGGGGAGCAAACAGGAUUAGAUACCCCUGUAGUCCCUGUCUCUUAUAC
rnacentral:rRNA from 1 species